ACUUGUCGCCCAGCUGCGAACUGGAGCGGGAGGCGGCGGCCGGAGGGCCCAGGACAGCCCCGGGAGGGCGGCGAGGCGGAGCAGGAGCGCCCCGGCUCCGGCCACAUUCUCAGAGUCAGGAAAAGGGGCGAGAGGCCACAUGUCUCCCUCUCGCCCAACUGAAAACGAAACGGCGCUCCAGCAGAUUGGGUGGAAAGAGCUGGGUCUCUUUUCUCUGUUUUUCACGCUAGAAAGGGCUUGUAAACAUUGUUCCUUUUAAAAUGACCUACCCCAGGCAUUUGUUUGGGCACACUUCUGUCCUGGGGUCAUCGUUCCUAGGUGGCUUCGGACCUGGGACUUUUCCUGUAUCUGCACAUUGUCGUUUUAUACACAAUUGCCAAGGUGGGACUGCUUUCAACUUUACUGUGCUUGAAGCUGCAAAGGUUCUGCCCUGAUGUUUCCUGGAAUAAUGCUGAGGACUGCCUUUCGGGUAGCCGCCCUAUUCAGUUCACUUCAUCUCGGAAAUACCUGACCCCUGCCUUGGAUCCAGCGGCCCUCCUGAGAGCUGAGGAAGGAGGAAAUCCUAUGUGUCUGCUCCCGGAGCUGCCACAACCCAUCUUCCCACAACUCGGAACUUGGAAAAAGGAACCCAGGACACGACUUUGCUUUUCUUUUGGACCUAGUUGGUGAUUAUACUCUGUCUCCCAUGGAGACCACGUCUUGCAUCCUUCCUUCUAUAUGGGAUUUAGGAUAGAAAUUAAAAAGAAAACAUAUUAUUUUGAGUCUUGAUUUGGAGAAAGGUAGUAUUCAGGAGGAAGUAGGCUAUGAUACACAUAGAAAAUUUGAGGACAGUGUUACUUAACAAGGACAUUUCUGUCUCUGCAGAAGUCACAGCUUGGAGGAAACCAGUUUGCACUAUUUGAUGAGGAAUUUGGCCACCAAACCACUGAUACUUUCCCAAAGGUUUGGCAGAAAUUGUUUUUUGAGUGGCUCACCAGAGUACCCAGAAGAAUCAGUAUGGAAUUAGAGGACAGUGGCCUACCCUAAAUAAAGACAUGAGUGAUGUAUAAAGUCUAGUGUCAAUUUAUUCAGAAAAUAUCAAAAUUAUUCUGGGAGCUAUGGGUCAAAGUUGAUAGGCACAAACAAACAAAAACGAAAGGUAUUUUAAAUUCACAGCUUGGAUAAGUAAAAGGGAGAUGUUGUCAUUUCUCUUCUUCAAUCCAACUUUAGAUUUUCAAGCCGGAAAAAGGGUAAUUAGAAGUUAGAAAUUGUUAUUGCCAGAAAAUAGCUCUAAACCCUGAAAAAAAAAAAAAAAAAAAAAAAAACUGACCCUCCUCUUGGGGAGUGAUAAACCUCAAUUACUGUUGAUAGUAAAACUGAUAUCAACUCUUCGAAACCAGUGAAAGGUGAAUGGAAACCUUACCCUAGGUUAAGGUUUAAAAAAUGUUCAUAAUAUAUAUUUGAAAGUUCCAUUAUUUAAAAUAUUCAUUAGACAUGCUUUGUAAUGUUAAGUUACUUCAAAAAAUCUUACACAAGGGAAGGGAAGUAUGUAUUAUUCCUUCAUUUAAGAGAAAGAUAAUGUGUGAAUAUUAGUUAAUAUUUAUCGUACAUUUACUACCUGUGUCGAAGCGUAGUGUUACACACUUAAUUUCAAUUAUUUAAUUUGAUUCUAACAAUGAAUCCCCUGAGAUGGAUAAUAUCCUCUUCAUUUUACAGAUGAGACAAUUGAGACUUAAAGGUUAAACAAAUGAUUUCCUAAGCUCAUUCAGCUAAUAAACGGUAGGGGACUGCUUGACACCAGUCCAGUUGACCCUCAAAUCCAUGAUUUCUGCCACCAUAUUCACAGAAACAAGACAAGAGCUGAAAAUAUAGCCUGACUCUUGAAACAGUCAAAGAAUUGUGUAUGUUUAUGAAAGUUCUGAUUAAUAAGAUAUUCUGAGGACAAAAGACAAGGCAUGGGUAGAGGGGCAAUGUGUAGAUUAGAAUGUAUCACAAUGCCCACUAAAUAGUAAAACCAUAGAAAAUGAAAUUUAAUCCUUACUGUGUAGAAUAUUUAGAGUAGAUUGUUUUUUCCUCGGUGUCAAUUACUAUUACAACUAUCAAAGAAUGAAAUUAAACAAGAAACGGUUCCUUUGGUUUUUUUUUUUAAAGGUGGGAGUUAUAAAAACAGUAUUUGCCAUCUGGUUUUAGUUAUGGCUGUGGAAAUUCUAUGGGUACAAUUUGUUGUCAUUGUUGUUACCACUACCAAUACAGAGAUGCUAAUUGUAACAUCAGUUUCUAAAUCAGAUAGUGAAUAAUUACAUUUUCAAUGUUUUCUUAACAUAGAUACAAGUUAACAGGAUAUGCUUCUGGCCUGUUUCUGGAUUCUAAGGGUAGAACCAGCAUAAAACUAGUCAGUCCAAGUAUUUCUAAAGAUCCACAGACACAGUUCUCCUGGAUUUGGGAAGCCUAGAGAUAUUAGCACAAUAAUUAAGGCCCAACAACUUUUAAAAGCCUUUCCACUGCACAGUGAAAGAAAACCACAAACUCCUUGUUUAAUAAGUGGGAUCACGUGCUUUUAACACGAGGAAAAGGUCAAUCUGAAGCAACUGAUAUGGAACUGCCAGAGUAGGUACGUAAAUUUAGGAGUUACAUCAAUUUGGGAGGGCUGCAGAAAUGUGGAUCAGAUUUUAAUCACACUGAGGAAGUUUCUUUGAGCAAAAGACGUGAUGGUUGUUCUCUAGAACCUUUCUGUCCUGUCCGUUGCUUUGCCAAGGGAGCUAGAAAAGAAAUAAACAUUUAAGAACUUAAAAGGCUUCUGGAUAAAACUCAGCUUGGUGCAACACAUUUUAGCUAUCACAGCUUUACUCCCAAGCUUCCACCUUUCCUAGGAGCGCAGUAAAAACCUGAGCCAAAGAAACCAAACAAUAGAACUGAAAUUCUUUAAACUUGAGUUCUUGAGGUUAUAGUCUU
rnacentral:lncRNA from 1 species